AUCAACUGAUGUGUUCUAGAUAGGACGAAAUGCGCAUCAAACUGGAU
rnacentral:hammerhead_ribozyme from 1 species